AGAACAUCCAAGGGCCCUGGCCUUGCCAUUUCACAGCCUGUUUGAAGAGGACAGAGCCGUGAUUGGAAGGGCACACAACAAAUCCAAAUUAACUCUCAGUGAAGCCAUUCUGUUCCCAGGACUGAAGACAUUAGAUUCAUUGCCUCCCUAAAUGUCUUCAUGCCCCUUGAAGGAAGAUGGUAUCUAAGAUGUUAUCUUGGAGGAAGAGUCUAACCUUGGUGUGGACCAGAAAUCAUCAGUAAGAGGUCAGGCAGGCGAGUCAAGGAUGGAGGUCACGGUCACAGGUGCCCUGGGAAUUCUUUUCCUGAAGAGAACAGAGAGCUCAAUGGUUUGUGAACCUGGGAGUGUCCCUUGCCACAGUUGUGCUCUACAAAGAUCAGAUUGGUGGAGUCACAAUAGAGACUCUCCUGUACAGGUCAAGGAAUUCCGACAUUUCUUUGAUGUGUGGCUACAAUGGAAACAUUUUGUACUUGUGAACGGGAUAGAGAGAAAGCAAUGGUCAACUUGAGUACCCAAA